rfam:Octopus bimaculoides Scaffold79717_contig_98, whole genome shotgun sequence.
UCCACGGCUUCUUUCGAAGCCAUAUCCAAUUUCUUGCUCUUCAUA